rnacentral:rRNA from 1 species
UACGAAGGGGGCUAGCGUUGUUCGGAAUUACUGGGCGUAAAGCGCGCGCAGGCGGUCUUCCAAGUCAGUGGUGAAAGCCCGGAGCUCAACUCCGGAACUGCCAUUGAAACUGUAAGACUUGAGGAUGAGAGAGGUGAGUGGAAUUCCCAGUGUAGAGGUGAAAUUCGUAGAUAUUGGGAAGAACACCGUGGCGAAGGCGGCUCACUGGCUCAUAUCUGACGCUCAGGCGCGACAGCGUGGGGAUCAAACAGG